AUACUCUUCUCCUUGGCAAGGUGAGAGCAUCUGCCCUACACUGUGGCUGCAAGCCUUUGCAGUGCAGUGUCACACCAUCAGUCCCUUUGAUGGCUCAGGGAGAGGCAAGCAGCUCCUCUUCUGAGACACAGAGAAGAGCAGACUACAGCUUGUGGGAAAACUGACAAAACUGAAUGUCCUUCAUGUGCAGCUGGUGUCAGACGUCUGUGCACCAUGACUCAGGGAAAUCAUCCAGCUGCUGCCAGGUGAUAUUUCCACUUCCUUGUGAUGACAGAGCUACUGCAAUAUGAGGAGAUCCUUGCCAGCAUUUCAAAAAGUGACAUUUGUUCUUGUUGAUCCUCUCCACACCACUGCAAUGUUCUCCACAUCACUGUAAAAUCUGAAGACUGGCAACUUGAUAUAAUACAGGUAUGCCAAAUUUCUCCUUGUUUGUAGUAUAGAUUUGGUCUCAUAGUUACUGAAGAAUAUGAGA
rnacentral:lncRNA from 1 species